rfam:Triticum aestivum genome assembly, contig: Triticum_aestivum_CS42_TGACv1_scaffold_094481_2AL
CUUAUACUCUCUUCGUCUAAAAAUACUUGUCAUCAAAAUAAAUAAAAUGAGAUGUAUCUAGAUGUAUUUUAGUUCUAGACACAUCCUUUUUUGUUCAUUUUGAUGACAAGUAUUUUCAGACGGAGGGAGUACUGA